UUUGUUUGUUUUAUUUUUUUGAUUUAAUUUUUGUAUAAAGGUGUUUUAGUAAUAUUAGUUUUUCUACUAAGUUUUUUUUGUGUGAAUUUUUAAUUUAUUUUAAAAAAUUCCAAAAAAAUUUUAGUUUCACUUCAAGAAAUUCCCAAUUUUUAUCUGGGAUAAGGAAUGGCUUUCCACUUUUUCAACGAACGUUACAGCAAGCACUCUACUAAGUGUACACACAAUGGAAUAAACAAGUAUAUAUAUGCAGACAGCUAAAAAAUCCUUAUGUACUACUUCACUUAAAGCCACAAAA